UGAUCUCUCUUGCUUCUAAAUUUUUUUAGAUCUAGUGUUGUGAUGAUAAUACGACUUCCAAGAUCCAAACCAACAAAUUUCUAAUCGACAUCAUCAAGCAUGAGUCAUGGUGACCAUGUUGAAACUUGUUGAUUUAGUCAUGGAAGUCGGAUUAUCAUCACAACACAAGAUCAAAAAAAACUUUUAAAAAGCAAAGUGGGAUCA